rnacentral:rRNA from 1 species
UAAUACGUAGGGCGCAAGCGUUGUCCGGAAUUAUUGGGCGUAAAGAGCUCGUAGGCGGCUUGUCACGUCGGGUGUGAAAGCCCGGGGCUUAACCCCGGGUCUGCAUUCGAUACGGGCUAGCUAGNGUGUGGUAGGGGUGAUCGGAAUUCCUGGUGUAGCGGUGAAAUGCGCAGAUAUCAGGAGGAACACCGGUGGCGAAGGCGGAUCUCUGGGCCAUUACUGACGCUGAGGAGCGAAAGCGUGGGGAGCGAACAGGAUUAGAUACCCUGGUAGUCCACGCCGUAAACGGUGGGAACUAGGUGUUGGCGACAUUCCACGUCGUCGGUGCCGCAGCUAACGCAUUAAGUUCCCCGCCUGGGGAGUACGGCCGCAAGGC